UACAGAGGGUGCGAGCGUUAAUCGGAAUUACUGGGCGUAAAGCGUGCGUAGACGGUUAUGUAAGUCGGGUGUGAAAGCCCCGGGCUCAACCUGGGAAUUGCAUUCGAGACUGCAUAGCUAGGAUGCGGAAGAGGGAAGUGGAAUUUCCGGUGUAGCGGUGAAAUGCGUAGAUAUCCGGAGGAACACCGGUGGCGAAGGCGGCUUCCUGGACCGACACUGACGCUGAGGCGCGAAAGCUAGGGGAGCAAACGGG
rnacentral:rRNA from 1 species